rnacentral:rRNA from 1 species
GACGAACGCUGGCGGCGUGCUUAACACAUGCAAGUCGAACGGAAAGGCCCUGCGUUUGUGGGGUGCUCGAGUGGCGAACGGGGGAGUAACACGUGAGUAACCUGCCCUUGACUUUGGGAUAACUUCAGGGAACUGGGGCUAAUACCGGAUAGGAUCUCCUGCUGCAUGGUGGGGGUUGGAAAGUUUCGGCGGUUGGGGAUGGACUCGCGGCUUAUCCGCUUGUUGGUCGGGUAGUGGCUUACCAAGCCUUUGACGGGUAGCCGGCCUUGGAGGGUUACCGGCCACAAUGCGACUGAGAUACGGCCCAGACGGCUACGGGAGGCAGCAGUGGGGAAUAUUGCACAACGGGCGGAAGCCUGAUGCAGCAACGCCGCGUGCGGGAUGACGGCCUUCGGGUUGUAAACCGCUUUCGCCUGUGACGAAGCGUGAGUGACGGUAAUGGGUAAAGAAGCACCGGCUAACUACGUG